rnacentral:rRNA from 1 species
UUGGAGGGCAAGUCUGGUGCCAGCAGCCGCGGUAAUUCCAGCUCCAAUAGCGUAUAUUAAAGUUGUUGCAGUUAAAAAGCUCGUAGUUGAAUUUCGGAAUCAGUACGUUGGUCGUGCCUUAGGUACGUACUGGUGUUACUGGUUUCUACCUUCUGACGAACCAUCGUGUCAUUCAUUUGGUGUGGGGGGGAAUCAGGACUGUUACUUUGAAAAAAUUAGAGUGUUUAAAGCAGGCUCGCGCUUGAAUACAUUAGCAUGGAAUAAUGAAAUAGGACGUUGAUCCUAUUUUGUUGGUUUCUAGGAUUGACGUAAUGAUUAAUAGGGAUAGUUGGGGGCAUUAGUAUUCAAUUGUCAGAGGUGAAAUUCUUGGAUUUAUUGAAGACUAACUACUGCGAAAGCAUUUGCCAAGGAUGUUUUCAUUAAUCAAGAACGAAAGUUAGGGGAUCGAAGACGAUCAGAUACCGUCGUAGUCUUAACCAUAAACUAUGCCGACUAGGGAUCGGAUGAUGUUAUUUUUAAUGACUCAUUCGGCGCCUUACGGGAAAC